rnacentral:rRNA from 1 species
GACGAACGCUGGCGGCGUGCCUAACACAUGCAAGUCGAGCGAAUGAAGUUCCUUCGGGAAUGGAUUUAGCGGCGGACGGGUGAGUAACACGUGGGCAACCUGCCUCAUAGAGGGGAAUAGCCUUCCGAAAGGGAGAUUAAUACCGCAUAAGAUUGUAGUACCGCAUGAUACAGCAAUUAAAGGAGCAAUCCGCUAUGAGAUGGGCCCGCGGCGCAUUAGCUAGUUGGUGAGGUACGGCUCACCAAGGCGACGAUGCGUAGCCGACCUGAGAGGGUGAUCGGCCACAUUGGGACUGAGACACGGCCCAGACUCCUACGGGAGGCAGCGGUGGGGAAUAUUGCACAAUGGGGGAAACCCUGAUGCAGCAACGCCGCGUGAGUGAUGACGGCCUUCGGGUUGUAAAGCUCUGUCUUCAGGGACGAUAAUGACGGUACCUGAGGAGGAAGCCACGGCUAACUACGUGCCAGCCGCCGCCGUAA